UUUAGUUUGUAAAAAUUAUCGUACGAAUGACAAAGAAAGCAUUAAUUUUGUAUUUAUUUUCCUCCUACAGAAAAACCAAUAACAUGAAAAUAUGUCCUCUAUGAAGCCAUACAACUUUCAUCUGAAACAUUUUGCGAUAUAAUUGAUAGUAUGAAAAAUGUGGCAGUUUAAACUUUUGGGUGAUCCUCCAUGCAUAAGAAAAGUUUCUGCAGGAUAAUGAACGUCGCUCAAAAUGAGUCACUUAGAGCAUCGAAAUCAAGCAAUUUUGUGUGGCGUUUGAUCCGUCGCACGUGAUGUGUAGCAGCCAUUUCCUGUCCUGCUAUAUGCCAUCUGACAAAUAGCAGCAGCUGAAAUUUAUAGCCAUCCUGAUG
rnacentral:misc_RNA from 1 species